rnacentral:rRNA from 2 species
CUGGUGUCAGCCGCCGCGGUAAUACCAGCACCUCGAGUGGUCAGGACGUUUAUUGGGCCUAAAGCAUCCGUAGCCGGCUCUGCAAGUCUUCGGUUACAUCCACCUGCUCAACAGAUGGGCUGCUGGAGAUACUACAGAGCUAGGGAGUGGGAGAGGCAGACGGUAUUCAGUGGGUAGGGGUAAAAUCCUCUGAUCCAUUGAGGACCACCAGUGGCGAAGGCGGUCUGCCAGAACACGUUCGACGGUGAGGGAUGAAAGCUGGGGGAGCAAACCGGAUUAGAUACCCGGGUAGUCCCAGCUGUAAACGAUGCAAACUCGGUGAUGCAUUGGCUUAUGGCCAAUGCAGUGCCGCAGGGAAGCCGUUAAGUUUGCCGCCUGGGAAGUACGGACGCAAGUCUGAAACUUAAAGGAAUUGGCGGGGGAGCACCACAAGGGGUGAAGCCUGCGGUUCAAUUGGAGUCAACGCCAGGAAUCUUACCCGGGGAGACAGCAGAAUGAAGGUCAAGCUGAAGACUUUACCAGACAAGCU